UACGUAGGGCGCAAGCGUUGUCCGGAAUUAUUGGGCGUAAAGAGCUCGUAGGCGGUUUGUCGCGUCUGCUGUGAAAACCUAAGGCUCAACCUUGGGCUUGCAGUGGGUACGGGCAGACUAGAGUGCGGUAGGGGUGACUGGAAUUCCUGGUGUAGCGGUGGAAUGCGCAGAUAUCAGGAGGAACACCGAUGGCGAAGGCAGGUCACUGGGCCGCAACUGACGCUGGAGGAGCGAAAGCAUUGGGGAGCGAACAGG
rnacentral:rRNA from 1 species